ACGGGGUGCAGCAGGCGCGAAAACUUCGCACUGCGCGAAAGCGCGACGAGGGAAUCCCAAGUGUAUGCACGUAAGUGUAUACUGUUUCUCUGUCUAAAAAGCAGAGAGAGUAAGAGCUGGGUAAGACGGGUGCCAGCCGCCGCGGUAAUACCUGCAGCUCGAGUGGUGAUCGUUAUUAUUGGGCCUAAAACGUCCGUAGCCGGUCUUGUAAAUGCCUGGGUAAAUCGUAUGGCUUAACCAUACGAAUUCCGGGUAGACUGUUAGACUUGAGACCGGGAGAAGCUAGAGGUACUCCUGGGAUAGAGGUGAAAUUCUGUAAUCCUAGGGGGACCACCAGUGGCGAAGGCGUCUAGCUAGAACGGGUCUGACGGUGGGGGACGAAGCCCUGGGGCGCAAACGGGAUUAGAUACCCCGGUAGUCCAGGGUGUAAACGCUGCUUGCUUGAUGUUAGUCUGGCUCCGAGCCAGAUUAGUGUCGGAGAGAAGUUGUUAAGCAAGCUGCCUGGGAAGUACGGCCGCAAGACUGAAACUUAAAGGAAUUGGCGGGGGAGCAC
rnacentral:rRNA from 1 species